rnacentral:rRNA from 1 species
GAUGAACGCUGGCGGCGUGCCUAAUACAUGCAAGUCGAGCGAACAGAUGAGGAGCUUGCUCCUCUGACGUUAGCGGCGGACGGGUGAGUAACACGUGGAUAACCUACCUAUAAGACUGGGAUAACUUCGGGAAACCGGAGCUAAUACCGGAUAAUAUAUUGAACCGCAUGGUUCAAUAGUGAAAGACGGUUUUGCUGUCACUUAUAGAUGGAUCCGCGCCGCAUUAGCUAGUUGGUAAGGUAACGGCUUACCAAGGCAACGAUGCGUAGCCGACCUGAGAGGGUGAUCGGCCACACUGGAACUGAGACACGGGCCAGAAUCCUACGGGAGGCAGCAGUAGGGAAUCUUCCGCAAUGGGCGAAAGCCUGACGGAGCAACGCCGCGUGAGUGAUGAAGGUCUUCGGAUCGUAAAACUCUGUUAUUAGGGAAGAACAAAUGUGUAAGUAACUAUGCACGUCUUGACGGUACCUAAUCAGAAAGCCACGGCUAACUACGUG